UGAAGGGUCAUAGUUCAGUGGUAGAGCAUCUGCUUUGUGUGCAGAAGGGCCUAAGAUCAAACCCUGGCCUUUCCA